UUAUUUCCUUUUCCUUUUUCUGUCCUCUUUCUUUUUCUUCUUUUUCUUUCCCUUUCUCUUCUUCUUCCUUACACCACCGAGACGUCCCUCAGCUAUAGCUUCACUGCUCGCCGUUCGUCGUCGUUGGAAUCGGCUUCAGUUGAGCUGUCGAGCAGCGCCCAGCCUUUUCCCCCAUUCGACGUCAUGUCAUCCAACCGCCGAGUGGAUCGUCUGCCCUUGCGAGAUCUAGCCACCAACUGGGACGUCCGUUCGUGCUCUGCAGUGCAGCUGGUCGGCUGACCCUCGAAGACGCUGCCCAGAUCUUCUCCCGCCAACUGAAGCCGUCCUGUCGACGCCCAGCUACCCAGUUCCAUCGCCGGCAGUUUCUUCGCCGCAUCCCUUCAGCGCUCGCGCCUGACGCCUUCUUCACCGGUCAAAUCAGCAUCGCAGGUAAGUCCAUCAAGCUGCCUUCAGUCAGUUCCACCACCAAAUUCGUUCACGUCAGUCGUCAUUAUUCGUAUCAGACCCGUCAGAUCUGACAUCUAGCCAUCAUUUCUGCUUAGUUUCGCCCGUCGCCGCCGUCGAACACUCCACGACCGGUGGGGAAUCUAGUGGGUAAAAAGAUUCAUGAAUUUUUUUUGGUUUUCUUUGGUUAAUUUUGGUUACCUACUUGAUUUUGGUUUGGAUUUUUAAUUUACCCAUUAUGGUGGAUGCUAGAUUUGGAGGUUUGAAAGUUUUAAGAUACUGUCCAGCGGGUCGAAGGUUGUUUUGGUGUGUCAUAAGUCAUUUUUUUCGACAAACUCGAAGUUGUUUUGAAGGAUUUUAGUGAGUACAAAGGUUUUGAAACCCUUUUUUGGUUGACUGUUAUUGCUAUAAAUUGAUUAUGUGAGCUUUAAUUAUGACUUAUGCAUAGGUUGGAGUCCAUUGAUGAAGUAAUAAAGUGGAUUUGGAUUUUAGCCAAAUUUUUGGGGAUUGUGUUUCCUUCGGGAUUCACCAGGGGUUGUGUUUCCUUGGAGAUUCACCAGGGGUUGUGCUUCCUUCGGGAUUCACCAGAGGUUGUGUUUCCUUCAAGAUUCACCAGAGGUUGUGGGUUCUACGAGACUUACUAAAGGUAAAGGUAGAGAUGCACCGACGAUUGACAAGCGGAAUUCGUGAUUGAGCCACUAGGACCAGUU